GUUGGUGGUGGUGGCGAUGUGUAAAUUGGGGUGUAAAGAGGGUAGUAUGGCUCUUUGGGUGGUGGUGGCAACUUGUAAAUAUGAGUUAGUGGAGGUGGUGUCUUGUAAAUUGGAGUAUAAGGUGGGUAGUAGGGUACCUUGGGUGGUGGGGGUUGUGAAAAUUUGAUACUAUAUAGAAGAGAAAGAUUUGUAUAUCGAUUAUAUGAUACAUAGUACAUCAGCAGUGUAUUUAUAUACACACAAUAUAAUAGACUCAUACAUACACUAAAGUCCUAGUACAAGUUUUAAACUAGCUAAGAUCAGAGUUCUGUUGUAACGUGAACUCUACUAGUAACAUGAUACUAAGUACUGAAGCUUAUCACUAACAACUAGAGUUUAUGUCUAAGUAAUCUAAUCAUUAUCUUCAACACUUCCCCUCAAGCUAAUUGGAGGUGAUUUGAUCACACUUAGCUUGUCUCUAAAAAAAUAUGAAUGAGUCCUUCGCUAAAGCCUAAGUGUGAAUAUCGGCUCGUUGAUCUCUUGAUCUCACAAACUGAGUGACUAGCUGUCUUUGAGCCACUUUUUAUCUAAUGAAAUGAUAAUCCAGCUUAAUGUGUUUAGUUCUGGCAUGCAAAACUGGAUUGGUGGACAUGUAUAGUGCACUUAAGUUGUCACGAAACAGUGUGGGAGCUGAAUUGAUGCAUAUACUUGUCACGACCCGAGUCGGGGCCCUGGCCGUAACGGGCAUCCCAAACCAUCUAGGCCCGAGAGACCCCUGUAACUCUCCAACCCACUAGUAAUAUUGUCCCCUUUGGUCCUAGGCCCGCACGGCUUUAAAACGCAUCACUAGGGAGUACGGGUUGCUUACUUAUAUACCCAGCAUCCCUCCUGUGUUUUACCGAUGUGGGACUCCUUCUCUUAAGUUGGGGUGUUACAUACACCCUUCCUUAUGGACUCAGCGUCCUCGCUGAGGUUUGCCCCACCAAAUGGGAUUUGCCUACACUCAGUACUGAGGUUUGCCCCACCUUACCGGUAUUCUCCUAUACUCAGUUUGAACUCUGGCUCAUAUCGAUAAGGCUGACACAAGAGCGACUUUGAUACCAUUCUAUCAUGACCAGAGCUGGGGCCCUGUCCGCGACGGGCAUCCCGAACCAUCUAGGCUUGAGAGAUCCCCUGUAACUCCCCAACCCACUAGUGAUAUUGUCCGUUUUGGGCCCAGGCCCACAUGGCUUUAAAACGCGUCACUAGGAGUAAGACUUGCUUACUUAUAUACCCAGCAUCCCUCCUGUGUUUUGUCGAUGUGGGACUCCUUCUCUUAAGUUAGGGUAUUACAAUACCAAUAUCCUGCAGUAUAUAAGUCAACCAUGUAACCUCAGCUGUUGCAAAAGCUAAGGCUCUAUACUCAGCUUCUGCACUUGAUCUUGCAACUGUGUUCUAUUUCUAGAGGACUAUGAUAUACAAUUUUCACCAAGAUCCAUGCUAUAACUAGUGGUGGAUAUUCUUAUGGUUGCACACCCUACCCAAUCAGCGUCUAAAAAACAAUAUAACUUAAAUGAGGACUGGGAGGUAAUGCAUAGACCAUGAGUAAUAGUUCCUUUAAUAUAUCUGAGUAUCUUUUUCACAGCCUGAAGAUGCAUAGAGUUAGGACUCUGUAUGAAUCGACUUGUAAGGUUUACAGCAUGGGUUAUAUAUAGUCUGGUCAAUGUCAGGUAUUGUAGACUCCCUACAAUGCUUCUAUACACUGAUGGAUCAACUGUUACUCCAGUAUCCUCUUGUAAGUUGUGUUUUUAUGCUAAGGGAGUAUGUACUGCCUUUGUGUUUGUCAUGUCCACUAUCUUUAGUAGAUCAUAUCUUUAGUAGAUCAUAUGCAUACUUACUUUGACAUAAGUGAAUUCCAUUUGAAAAAUAGGUAACUUCAACUCCAAGAAAGAAACUCAGCUGCCCAAGGUCUUUCAUGGCAAAUUCUGUGCUCAGCUUCUUCAUAACUUCAUCCAUCAGCCUUGAGUUAUUUCCUGUCACAAUUAUGUCAUCUACAUACAAUAGUAGUCUAUUGAUCUAUGAAAAGUGAAUAGCGAGUCAGCUCUACUGCACUUGAACCCAAUAUUGAGGAGGUACAUGCUGAAUUUUUCAAACAAGGCUCUAGGAGCCUGUUUUAGGCCAUACAAUGCCUUUUUCAGCUGACAAACAUGUCUUGGAUACCUACUAUCAACAAAACCUAGUGGUUGACUCAUAUAAACCUCCUCUGCAAGACGUCCAUAUAGGAAAGCAUUUUUAACAUCUAGUAGUCUAAUGGACCAAUGUUGAGUGACUGUAACAGAUAGGACAAUUCUGAUAGUAGUUGCCUUUACAACAGGGCUAAACGUUUCUUCAAAGUCUGUCCCUUCAAGUUGUGAGUAACCCUUUGUAACUAACCUGGCUUUAUAUCUCUCAAUUGAUCUAUCUCGCCUCGUUUUGGUUUUAUACACCCAUUUAGAGCCUAUUACAUUCAUCUUGGCAGUCCUAGGAACAAAAAUCCAAGUCUCAUUUUUAUGCAGCGCUUGUAAUUCUUCCUGCAUAGCUAUUGACCAGUGUAAAGAGUGAAGUGCGAAGUGCUUCUUUGAGUGACUUAGGUUCACUUGAUGCAGUGUUGAACCUGGCUACAGAUAAAGAUAUAUGAGACAAAGAGAGAUUCUUAGCUUUUGACUUGGUAAUCAUAACAUGUUCUACUGGUGCAGUUGGAGCUGAAACAUAACACGUUGAGACUGUGAAAACUUUGAGAAAUCAACCUCACGUUGAAUUCCCUUUGGAUCUACAAUGUGGGACAUCUUUGGCAAUUAUUGGUGAUCACUCAUCUGCAACUUGUCAUCUACAUGCACCUCAUUGGAAGAGUUUGUCGGAGAUUGAUCUUUUGUAGGAGUUGGUAAUUCCACAGUGUCAUGUUGAGACUCUUCUGGAGCUAGUACUUCAAGUGUUGGUGUAGUUUAUAUUACUUUCCCUGAAGUGUUAUCCAAAGUAUCUAUAUGAGAAGAAUUUGAUGAGUUAAAAUUCUGACUUACCAAUGAACCGCCUGCCUUCUUGUCUUCUGAGAAGAGUUCAAAAAUAUAGCAAAAUGAGUUGAUCCUAUAGAAAAGUUGUUAUUUUCCUGCACAUAAGGUAGAGUUAGUUCAUCAACGACAACAUGUCUUGAUAUGAAUACCAUUCUUGUGGAUGGAUAGUAACAUUUGUAUCCCUUAUGGAGGCUGCUAUAACCAAUGAAAACACAUGGAUAUGUCUUUGGAGAGAACUUGUUGCUUCCUUUGAUGUAAGGAAAACACCUACACCCAAAUACUUUCAAGCUUAUUAUAGUCAGGGUGUGUUCCAUGAAGCUUAUGUAAAGGUGUUUCCUUCUUUAAAGCUGAAGAUGGUAGCCUAUUUAUUAGAAAAACAGUUGUAAAAAGGCUUCUGUCCAUAGAAACAAAUGCAAUUUCGCAUGGAACAAUAAAGUUAGACCAUUUUCUACCACAUGCCUAUGUUUUCUUUCUGCAAUACCAUUCUGCUUAGGUGUAUAUGGACAGGGUAUGUGUCUAGCAAUCCACAAUUUUCCAAGUGAUUAAUGGAUUGUGAACUAGCAAAUUCACCACCUUCAUCAAAUUGGAAUAUUUUGAUGCUUUUAGUGAACUAUUUUUCAACCAUCUUUUGGAACUUAAUAAACACUUCAAAGAAAUCUGAUUUUUUUCUUAAUGGAUAAAGUCAUGUGUAACUACUAUGAUCAUCUACAAAUAGUGCAUAAAAUCUCAUAUGCUGUGAAGACUCAACAGGUGCAGGACCCCAUAUAUCACAAUGAAUUUUUAGCAAAGGUUCUUUUUCAGCUUUAUUUUUCAAACCAAAAGGCAAUUUACAACCUUUACCCAUUUGACAACUAACAUAAACAGUAGGAUUUUUAUUUCAACAAGUGAUAUUGAUACACUUAUUUCUGUCUAAAAGUUCUAAAUACUUAGAAUUUGGAUGCCCAAGUCGGGUAUGCCAAACAUCACUAGAACUAAAGCUACUCCUUCUUGUCUGUAUUGUUGUCAAUGCUAGUGGAUUGUUGCCUUCCAAUACAUAAAUAUCUUCUCUUCUAGAUCCCUUCACUAGUUUGUUCCCUGUUUUCUUGUCCUUUACAUCAAAAGUUAAUUCAUCAAACUCAAUUGUACAAUAAUUGUCUUUGGUUAGCUUGCUUACUGAUAGUAGUUUCUUCUUAAGUUCAGGAACAACCAGUACCUCUUUCAGUUUUAAGCCAGAUACACUACCACUGCCAAUGUGUGUAAUAUUGAGUUCAUUUUUAUUUCUAACUACUAUCUUAUCAGAUCUUUCGUAAGGUUUUAGAUUAGAUAGUUUACCUGAGGAGUUUGUCAUAUAAGUACUUCUCCAGAAUCCACAUAGACUGCAUUGUCUACAUUGUUAGGACCAUUUAAGGUGACAGAUGCUAAUGCUUGAGGCAAGUCAUCUUUAGCUUGGUAUGAAAAAUCCCAUCUAUAGAAGCAUUUGAGUACAUUGUGAUUGUUUCUCCCACAGAUCUGACAAGCAGCAGAGUCUUGCUUCUCUUUUAAGGGAUUUACAAUGUUUUGAGUAGGCUGUUGGUUAGAGCUCUGUCCAGCUACUCUAAAACCACUGCCUCUUGAGCUAUAGUUCAUGUUUCAUCUACCUCUGUAGGAUUUUUCUCUACCCUUAUAGUUAUUUUGCUUGCCAUGAUUGGCCUGUUGAGCAAUGAAAGCAGUAUUGUGGUUGAUUUGUUGAGGUUCUUCUCCAUCAUAUUCUCUGAGAUCAAAGACUCUCAAAGCAUUAACUAAUAGGUUCAAAGUUGGAUAGGGAGGCUUACCAAGCCUAACAGUCCUGAAUAUCUUGUACUUGGGUCUUAGCCCUCCGACGAAAUUGGUUACUUUACUGUCCUCAUCCACUGACUUGUGUAUGGAUGCUGAACCAUCACAUAUGCCUUUGAACUCUUUCAAAAACUCAUCAGUGGACUUGGAUCCAAUUCUAAUGGUUUAAAGUUGUUGCUUCAACUGGAACUCUUUGUCCUUAGUGGCUUGAAGGUAUGUUUCCUCUAAGAUUUUCCUAUUUCCCUGGCAGUUUUACAGCCCACAGUGAGGUACAUGGUUUCUUCUGAUAGUGUACCAGAGAUCCAACUCCUCAAUAACACAUCCUUCUCCUCCCAAUCAUCAAUGUCACUGCUCUUGUCAGUGGCUUUACCACUUUUUUUAUCACUGCUGAAAGUAGUUUCAUCAGUGGUUUCUGCUUUGGACUCGUCCUUAAUGAGAUAGGCUAAUCUCAUAACUGGAAAAAGCUAUAGAAUCUAAGUUCUCCAUAUCAAAUAAUUUAAUGGCUUAAACUUAAUAGGAACAAAAGCAAUAAGGUGGCGUAGUGAGGAAGUUGAGAGUGAGUUUGGGGUUGAUGCCAUUUUGAGAUAGGACUGUUUUAGCAAUUUGAGAAUUGGUUAGCAGAAGAACGCUUAGCGCUCUGAUACCAUGUGAAAAUCUAAUGCUAUGUAGAAGGGAAAGAUUUAUAUAUAGAUUAUAUGAUACAUAGUACAUCAGCAAUGUAUUUAUAUACACACAGUACAGUAGACGCAUACAUACACUAGAGUCCUAGUACAAGUUUUAAACUAGCUAAGAUCAGAGUUUUGUUAUAACAUGAACUCUACUAUAAACAUGAUACUAAGUACUGAAGCUUAUCACUAACAACUAGAGCUUAUCUCUAAGUAAUCUUAUCAUUAUCUUCAAUAGUGACAACUUGUAAAUAGGGUUGGUGGAGGUGGUGACUUAUUGAUAGGAGUGUGUGGGACAGUAAGGCACCUUGGAUGGUGGUGACUUGUAAACUGGAGUUGGCGGUGAUGGCGACUUAUAAAUUAGGGUGUGUGGAGGUAGUAUGACUCCUUGGGUGGAGGUGGCAACUUGUAAACUAGACUUGGUGGAGGUGGCGACUGGUAAACUGAGAUAUAUGGAGGGUAGUAAGGCUUCUUGGGUGGUGGUGGUGACUUGUAAACUGGAGUUGGUGGUGAUGGUGAUUUGUAGACUGAGUGUGUAGAGAGUAGUAUGACUCCUUAGGUGGUGGUGGUGAAUUGUAAAUGGGAGUUGGUGGUGGCAGAGACUUAUAAACUGGUGCGGGAUUGAUAUAGCUCCUUGGGUGUGGAGGCGAUAUGUAGACUAGGGUUGGUGGAGGUGGUGACUUGUUGACUGGGUGUGUGGAGGGUAGUAAGGCUCCUUAGUAGUGGUGGCGACUUGUAAACUGUAGUCGGUAGAGGCGGUGACUUGUAGAUUGGGGUAUGAGGAGGGUAGUAUGGCUCCUUAAGUGGUUGUGGUGACUUGUAAACUGGAGUCGGCGAAGGUGGCGACUUAUAGACUGGGUGUUUGGAGGGUAGUAAGGCUCUUUGGGUGGGGGUGGCAACGUAUAAACUUGAGUUAGUGGAAGUGGUGAUUUGUAGACUGGGUGUGUGGGGGAUAGUAUGGCUCCUUAGGUAGUAGUGGUGAUUGGUAAAUAGGAGCCGGUGGAAAUGGCGACUUAUAGACUGGGUGUGUGGAGGGUAGUAAGGCUCUUUUGGUGGGGGUGACGACUUGUAAACUGGAGUUGAUGGAGGUGGCAAUUUGUAGACUGGGGUGUGUGGAGGAUAGUAUGGCUCCUUGGGUGGUGAUGGUGGUGACUAGUAAAGCGGAGUUGAAGGUGAUGGUGAUUUAUAAAGUGGUGCAGGAUGAUAAGGUGUUGGUGAAGGAUGGUAUGGCUCUUUUGGUGAUGGUGGAGAUAAAUAUUGAUAAUUUGCUGAGCUUUGGGAAGCCAAGCAAAGUGACACAAAAACCACUAAAAGAGUGGAAAAUAGAGAGGCCAUUUCUCCCAAAAAGAAACAAAGGAGAGAAGUUGUUGUCCCUUUAAGCUGCACUCAAAGCCCUUUGUAUAGCUUUCAUUUAGAAGGUAUAAGGCUAAAGUUAUGUAUUUUUAAUUAGUUUUGUCAUGUUGUCGGUUCAAUUUGACCUUUGUUGGUAUACUUUUUUUUUUUUGUUGGAUAGAAGGUGCAAGCUAAGCAAAGAAAUUAACUACUAUGGCAGCUAUACUAUUUAUGAUGCAAUAAUUCAAAAAAAAAUACGUGGAUCCCACAACUUCCCACAAGAUUUUAGUUAUAGGAAUCUGAGCACUUUUUUUUUACACUUAGGGUGUGUAUGGUACGAUGGAAAAUAUUUUCUGAAAAAUGUUGGUUGUAGUAAAAAAUAUUUUCUAAGAUAAUUCAUUUUUUCCUAUUUGAGGGAAAAUGACUUCCCUCAUGGACCAAGGGAAGUUAUUUUUCGGAAAAUGAUAAAUGUGACUUAUGCCCCCAUCCUCACCCCUCUUCCCACCCCAACAACACUCAUAUUCACAUAACUCAAAAAAUUCACAUUUUUAAAAAAUUUAUUUUACUCAAAAUAUUUUUCACUGUGCUUUGCUUCAAUUUUUCACUGCUUGAAAUAAAAAAUAGUGAAGCCCGACUUUUUUUCAUUUCCAAUGUUCGUUGAAUGUAUUGUUAUUUUCAUAUGCAUAGAGGAAGACUUACCUAUGUUACUUUUGCUAAUUGCAUAUUUUAUUUUGUCAUCGAUGUUACUUCUUUCACGAGGUUGAAUAAGCUUAUCGUCCCGUUAUAUUUCUAUUGAUUGUAGUAUCUUGAGAUUGUCCUGAAAAAAUGUUGAAAAGUGUCUCCUAUAUUUGCUAAUUAAUAGUUGCUUAAAUUUAGUGAUUGUAAUAUUUUAGUAUUCGAUAUUGAUAUUAUUUAUUAUGCUUAAAUUAGUUCUUACAAAUUGUUGAGUUGCUAGAUGCACUGAUAUACUAGUUAACAGUUAGUAGUAUUUUCUAAAAAAAAAAAUUUCACUCACCAAUCAAACACUAGAAAAUAUUUUUCUAAAAAAUAUUUUCUACUCACCAACCAAACACCAUAAAAUAUUUUUCGAAAAUAUUUUUCACUCACCAACCAAACAUGAGAAAAUAAAUAGAAAACCAACUUAUUUUCCAAGAAAACAUUUUUCAUGAAAAAUAUUUUCCAUCGUACCAAACACACCCUUAGUAUUUGAAGAAUUCAAUUCUUGUGGAUUCUGACAGCUUAACUAACCUUCACUUAAGUGCUGAGAAAUUUAAAACAAUAUGUAUACAGUAUCAUAUAUUCUUUAAAAGAAAUGAUAUGUCAUUGUUAAAAGAGUUUAAUCUAGAGAAAACUGUGCAUGUGACUCGCUUUCAUUACCAACUAAAUCAAUUAUGUUCUUUCCUUUUGUGUAGUAGAGCUAAAAGAAACAUCAACCGAUUAUUUUGUAGCUCAAUGUUGAAAACUUAUGUGGUUCAAUAUGAUAUCUCUGAAAAUUUUACAGCUUGUUUGAUAGCUGCUGCCUAAUAAUGUAUUGUAUCGUGUUGCUAGUUUAAAUAUAAUGUGUAUUUUGAUUGUUUCUUAAAUUUUACUGUAUCAUUAAAUCUAUAACUAGAUAGCAAUAAAAAGUCUCAUUUGGUGUAACGACCUAUUUGAUGUGAUCGCGUUGUUACCUUUUUUCCCCUUUUUAUUUAUUAUUUAAUUAUCUUAAUGCUCCUUUAUCCUAUAUUUUUAUAGUAACUCUACCUCACAUUUUUCUAUUUUCCUUCUAGGCUUAUCCUUGAACUGUUAUAUGAAGGAUGCAAUGUAAUGACGAAAAAGGUAUAAUAAAUCCAAAUAUCGUAACAUUCACUAAAAUAAUAAAGUACAUACAAUACAACAUGAUACUUUAUGAAACAAUAUCAUUCCAAGUUAAGGACUUGAUUAGAAUGUGCAUGUUAAGUGUCUGAUGGGUUACUUAAGUAUAAAGUUCAAGUCCAUAUAAAAAGAUAAACCCUAAUUAUAAUGCCUUCAUCAUGGCUGGUCGACAGUAGUCUACUACUGAAUUUCCUCCUUUGAACCCAAAUUCUAUUGUGAAUAUCCAAACCCUACCGUUGGAUAAAUCUUUUGUUGAAUCAAUCAGUACAACAAAGUUGGACACCGUCUCUCGCAAAGAGGUGGUCAUGGUGGAAGGAAUCCCGAAUGUCACACUGAAAAAAGUGGAUACAGUGAAUAAAAUGGAGAAUUUGCAAUUUGUUGUCAUAGGUAAAUUCACUUAAGAAUGGACGGGUAUAGAAGAAUUAAGGAAUAUUAUCCCACAGCAAUGCAACAUUAAUGGUGAUUGUCAAAUUGGAGUAUUCAGAAAUAAACAUAUUUUCAUUCGUUAGACACAGGAGUCGGAUUUUAUUAAUAUCAUCAUCUCAAAGGGAGCUUUUUCCUUGCACUGUAAGGAUGGGUUCUCUUAUUUGAUGCGAACACUCUCACACUUAUCUAUGAUCCCCUUUUCAAAGAAACUUUAGAGACUACAAAGACUUUCGCAUGGAUUUCUUUCCCAAAUCUAUUGCCUACCUAUUAUGUCAAGGAAUGUUUGUUUUCUUUAGCUGCAACAGUGGGAAAGCCUGUCCAACUUGAUCUAGCCACCAUUAAUAGGACUAGACCAAGUUGUGCAAGGAUUAAGGUCUUGGUUGAUCUAAAAGCUGAUUUCUCUAAAUCAGUCCGGAUGGAUAUUGAAAAUGAAGAGUCAGGUAAAUGCAGGACAAUAGUGAAGCGGAUUAAAUUCGACCAUAUUCCUAAGUAUUGUCAUGAAUGCAAUAUGCAAGUUCAUGCUAAGAAUCAAUGUAGAAACUUAGGCACCCCAGAGGAUGCAACAAUGGCAGUAACAGUGGAUAAUAAGGAAUAAAAGAGGCCAGUACAACAUCUUCCUAAAUUCACAAUGCCUUUUGUACACAAAUUUCAAAACGGAAAAGCAUGAGUUCUUUCGAGUGGGAUUGUAGUUGGAGAUCCUACUAACUGGAUGGUUAUUAAAAAUGAUAAGAGGAUAGUUAAUACUUCCCAACAGCCUCUUUUAAUGAUAUAGUUAAUACUUCCCAACAGCCUCUUUCAAUGACAAAUAACCAAUUUGCUGCUCUAGCUACCGACGACAAAGAACCUGCUGAAUUAAACAUUUCGACAAAGGAGAGUUCAAACCUUAAGGCAUGUACGGAUGUGUUCCAAAUAAUAAGGAAAAUGAAAAAGUUAAUCUGUGGUCCAAUAAAGAAUCUGCUAAAGAGUGGGUAUCAAGGGAUUUUGGCAAGCUAGGUGAAGUUCCCAAUUCUGUAAUACCUGUACAGCAACAAGGCAGUCAGCAACUAAGUAAUCAACAACAAAGGCAAGAUAGAGAUAAUAAUGCUAAAGAGAAUAAUAAAGAUGGUAAUGGGAUGGAGAAUGAUAUGCAGGUUAAAUCUUUAAUAAAUCAGGAGCAUAAUAUUGAUGAUGGUCAGCAACAAUGCCUCAUAGUCAAAAAGGACAAUCUGCAAUCUAUAGAAGAUGUGCAACCAGAUACCAAGCAAUAGUCAAUGCAGAUUAAUCAAGAUUUUUACAGUGGAAGCUAUGAUAAUGGAGAUAGGUCAGUUGAGGAAAGUGUGGGGAUAACAGUUGUGAUGCAAGGGGAACAAAAUGUGUGUUUAGAAAUAAUGGAGAUUCCAAAACCAGUGCAGAUAGAUGAAUCAUUUAUCGUUACCAAGAGUUCUCCCAACAAAGUAAUACAUGACAUUGUCUCUCAUAGUUUAGGGUACAUUAAAUGCAGUAAUCAAACUCACAUGGCCAAAGGAGUUAAAGAAGUAGAUGUAGAAGAUGAUUCGAAGGAUCAUGCUCCAUCGGAAGCUGAUUUAUCACCAAGACUGAUGAAAAUCUCUAAAAAAGGAUAAAAAAGAAUGUGGAUGGGAGAAAACUCACAACCUACCAGAGUUCAUCCUAAGCGAUCCAAAUCUGCCCUAAAUUAUCAAUGAAAGCACUUAUUUGGAACAUUAGGUCUGUGAAGACACAACAAGAUUUCAAAGACUUCAGAUGCUUAAUAAUUAUCAUAAGUUCACCGGUUUCAGUUUGUUAGAGCCUUUUCAGAAUGUUAGAUAUAAGAGAAGAUUGAAAAUGCAUAGGGCUAUGUCAAACUGCAAUAGCAAGAUUUGGUUUUUCUCCUCUCAAGAUGUGAUAACAACUGUUAUUAAAGACACUGAUCAUCAGCUACAGUUCACUUGCAGGAGUAGGCUCAGAGCUUAGAUUUAUUACUCUUGUUUAUGCAAAGUGUUCUAAAGAGGAGAGAUUAAUCUUAUGGAAGGAUAUUUAUCAAGUUGCUUCUGGAAUUUCAAAACCUUGGAUGCUAGGAGGAGAUUUAAUGUUGUUUUGAAUUCUGAAGAGAAAAUUGGUGGCCUUCCAAUUCUUGAUGCAGGCCAUGGGGACUUUCAAUCAUGUAUUUCUUAUUGUGAUUUGAUGGAGAUACCUUUUAAAGAAAGUUCUUUCACUUGGUGGAAUGGUAGAGCAGGUAAUGACUGUAUUUUAGAAAGAUUGGAUAGAAUUUUUACUAAUCAACAACAACAACAACAACAACAACAACAACAACAAACCCAGUGUAUUCCCACCUAGUGGGGUCUGGGGGGGUAAGAUGUACGCAGUCCAUACCUCUACCUCUGCUGAAUUUUUACUAAUCAAGAUUUACAAAAUAAGUUCAAUCACAUGAAGGUAGAACAUCUUGCUACUAGUUCAGAUCAUGCUCCCAUGUUGUUGUAUUGUUAUGACAGAGCUAUCAGUUACAAGAAAUCUUUUAGAUUUCUUAAGUUUUGGACUGAUCAUCCUAAGUUCCUAGAAGUAGUAAGGCAGAAUUGGUGUUCUUCAGGUUCUCAGAGUCCAUUCUUAGAUUUCAAAGCAAAGAUUAAGAGAAUUAAAGUUGCUUUGACAAGAUGGAGUAAAGAGACUUCUGGGGAUAUUUUUAAAUAGUUGAUAAUCAGGGAAGAAAUUGUCAAGAUCAAAGAGAAAUUAUUUGAGGAAUGCCCUACGGCUGAUAACAGCGAAGUGUUGCAAAGAGCUCAGUCCGAGCACAAAAUAUAUCUUCGUUUUGAAGAGAUUUUUUGGCAGCAAAAAGCAGGUUAUGACUGGUUUGAGAAUGGUGACAGAAAUAUUAAAUUUUUUCAUAGCACUGUGAAGGGGAGGAGGAAAAGAUUGAAUUUGAAUAGAAUUCAAAUUAAUCAGGGUAUUUGGCUGGAUAAAGAAGAAAAGAUAGCCGCAGAGGUUGUUAUGUUUUAUCAGGACCAAUUUAGACAAGAACAAGAGGCUAAUGUUUUUUCAUAACUGAAUAAUAUACCUAAGAGUAUUUCUGAUGAGCAAAAUAUUGUUUUAAGUCAGUAAGCUGAUCUUGAAGAAGUUAAAAAGGCACUUUUUAGCUUAAAUGAAUAUAGUGCAAGUGGCCCGGAUGGGUUAACAAGUAGGUUCUAUCAGGUUCGCUGGGAUAUUAUUGGUAAUGAUGUUCUUAAUCUGGUGCAAGAUUUCUUAAAAGGUAAUACUCUUCCCAAAUUCAUUAUUCAUACUAAUUUGGUGUUGCUUCCCAAGAAGGAUUUUAUUCAAUUUUUCUCAGAUUUGAGACCAAUUAGUCUUAAGUAAUUUUAUUAAUAAGAUCAUUUCUAGGAUUGUGCAUGACAAAAGUGAACUUCUUUUGCCUAGACUGAUUUCUUUUAAUCAAUCUAAAUUUGUCAAAGAGAGAAGAAUUAUUAAAAAUUUCCUCCUGACUCAAGAGAUAGUUACUGACAUCAGAAAAAUGGGUAAGCCGGCUAAUGUGGUCUUAAAGCUUGAUAUGACUAAGGCUUAUGAUAGGGUUUCCUGGUUUUUCCUGAUGAAGGUUCUAAGAAAAAUAGGGUUCUCAAAAUUGUUUAUGGACUUGUUUUGGAGAUUAUUGUCUAAUAAUUGGUAUUCUAUACUAAUUAAUGGGCGAUCACACGGCUUUUUUCACUCAACUAGGGGAGUAAAACAAAGAAAUCCUUUAUCUCCAGCUUUCUAUUUGAUGAUGCUCAAUAUGUAGGUUAUGAUAUGCCAAAGUGGAGUUCCAAUAUUAAUCAUCUUGCUUAUGCAGAUGACACUAUUAUAUUCGCUGCAGCUAACAGAUACUCUUUGAGAAAGAUUUUUUCAGUGUUACGGGAAUAUGAAACUCAAUCAGGGCAAAAAGUUAAUAAAGAGAAGAAUGCUUUCUACAUGCAUCAGAAUUCAGCUGCAGUUGAUAAACAAAUGGUGGAAGAUUGUGCGGCUAUUUCUAAAGGCCAAUUUCCUUUGAAAUACCUUGAAUGUCCUAUCACUCAUGCUAGAAAAAGAAAGAGUCAUUAUUCAGAGCUAAUUCAGAAGGUUAAGUCAAAAUUACAGGCUUGAAAAGGUAAUAUUCUCUCAUAUGGGGGGAAAGGAGGUCCUUAUCUCUAGUGUUCUUCAAAGUGUUCCUAUACAUAUCCUUUCUGUUGUUGUCCCUCCUAUUUGUGUAUUGAAGGAGCUUCACAGAAUAUUUGCAAAUUUUUUUGGAGUAAUAAGGCCGAUGGAAGAAACAAACACUGGGCUGCUUGGGUAAAGGUGUUUUUACCAAAACAGAAGGCAGUUUGAGUUUUAGAUCGAUGUUUGAGGUAUCUCAAGCCAUGUAUCCUAAGUUCUGGUGGAAGUUCAGAACUCAAAAUACUACUUGGUCCAACUUUAUAUGAGACAAGUAUUGCAAAAAGCAAAUACCUUCACUAGUUUAAUGGAAAGGUGGCUCGCAAGUAAGGAAGCAUAUGUUGCAAAAUAGGGAUCUAGUGGAGCAAUUCUUGUGGUGGAACCUAAAGGAGGUACUUCUACAGUUUGGUAUGAUAAUUGGACUCAACUUGGUCCUCUUUUCAAACACCAGGUAGAGGUCAUUCUUCUUUUCCAGUGAUGGAUAUUGAGGAAUUCAUGUUGGGCUCAGACUGGGAUUUUGAGAAUAUGCAAUAUCAUUUAUCAGAUAAUGUAGUAGAGCAUGUAAGAUUACAUUUGAGGCUUGUACGACAUCCUGGAGAAGGUGACAAGCCCUGGUGGAUUAAAUUUAGUUCUGGCAAGUUCUCGGUUAAAAGUGCUUGGGAAGAACGGAGGAAAAAAACGUUUGUAAUGAGUCAUUUCAGAAGAUCUGGGUAAAAGAGAUUCCUUUCAAAAUUUCUUACUUUGGUUGGAGAGUUUGGACAAAUAGGAUUCCUGUAGCCUCUGUUUUAGCUAAUUGGAAUCCUAACUUGUCUCCUCUUUAUUCAUAUUGUGUUUCAAGAAAUCAUGGAGCACCUCUUUCUAAAAGGUGAAGUGGUUUAUUUCGGUUUGGAUUUAUUACGCCAAUGCUGCAGGUAUUCUGGGGCCCUGGGUUCAAAUUAAACUAUCCAUAAAGAAGUGGUGGGAUAUAAAUGGUAAUUAAAGACAAAGAUUCAUCUUUCAGGUAGUUCCUACUCUCAUUUUGUGGUUUUUACGGAAAAGAAGGAAUGCAUUAGUUCAUGGAGGUUCAUACUCUACAGCCAAGGUUAUUUGGGAUAUUAAUGGUUUAAUUAAGAAAAUUCUCAGAAAGAAGUUUGGUUAUGAUCAGUUACCAUCUAGUUGGCCUCAAAUAGUUGCUUUUUGACUUAUUUAGACCUACAUUUUUAUCUAGAUGGAUAAGAUGGUAUCCCCCACCUAGGGGAUAGUGGAAAUAUAACACUGAUGGAACCUCGAGAGGUAAUCUAGGUCGAAUUUCAGCUGAUUUUUGUGUACGAAAUCAUGUAGGUGAUCUUGUGUAUGCUAAGGGUUUCUCUAUUCCAGAUUCCACUAAUCUGGUUGUUAAAGUCAUUGCUAUAGGAGUUGGUUUACAUUAUUGCUUAGAAAAUCAAAUUGUCAACAUUAUUGUGGAAUCUGAUUCCCUUGUAGUAGUCAACAUGAUUAAUGGAGUGUGGGAAAUUCCUUAGAGUGUGAUAAUGGAGGUCAACUCCAUUAAAGAUAUGAUGGAUUCUUGUUCAGCAAGAGUACAACACUCCUUAGGAAAGGGAAAUACUCUUGCUGAUUAUUUAGCUAACUUGGUUUUUCAUUUUGCAGGUAACUUUGAAUUCAACAGUUUUCAUGAAAUUCCAAGCGCAGGUAGGAAGAUUAUCAAUCUAGACAAACAAGGCAUUCCACAAAUGAGGAUAAGACAGUGUACAUCAACUAAUUCAACAAGGGAUGGAUCGCUACUGCAGAUUACAAAGUGAAUUUACAAACUCUAUUAGCAGUGACUAGUUACUGGUGAAUUUAGUGCAGUCUGAAUUAGUUUCGUUUGGUUAACAUACCAUGCACCUGUGGGAAUUUUUAGGUGUUACAUAGAGUAUAAACCCAGGACUCACUUAUACUAGUUGCUAAUUUCUAGGUAUAGAGUUUAUAAAAAUCAAGCACAAAUUUAGAGGCAUUUCAUAGUCUCAAAUCUGUUGAUGAGGAGAGGAUGGAGUACCCGGGACCUCAAAUUUAGCGGCGGAAGAUAGACAGGGUAUAAUUAUCAAGCAAUACAAUUCUUUUAUACAGAUUCCACUUCAGAGAAGAACAAAAAUAAUCAUUGCCAACUUAUGGAUUGCAAAGUGUCAAAAUACAAAUUUCAGCAUUUGGAGUAACACAAGAAGGCAAGGAGCAAGAUAAGUAUUAAUGGACAGUAGUGGUGAUUAACAUUCACUAAUACUGAUUGAUUUCUAAGUCAUACAAUUGAAAUGGGGGUUAAGGUGAACCUGUUAGUUCUGGAUCCUUGGUGGUGGUAUCAAUCUCCUUGAGGUUUAUUCCGCUAGGAAAAAGAGAGAACAGUGAAAUCAUUUUUUUCAUUUCACAGAUGAGUUUAGAAUAGAAAAAGGGAGGUGACUUACCAUAUCAUCUGCAAUAAAUAUUUAUUGAUUUGGAGCUGUAGAAAUUUAGUUGAAACCAAUUUCAUGAAGUUUGUAAGAGAUUAAAGUGUCUUAGUGAAAUUUGAUGGAUGUUCCAUGGCAAUAAUGGCUUCCACAACUUAAUGCAACAACCAGAUGAGGUUGGAGUAGCAAAGAUUGAAACCAUAGUUGCCUCUCCGUGAUGUCUUUCAGCUUUGAGUUUUAUCCACACAUUCCUUUUCCUGCUUACAUUUUCUGUUUUUGGUCUUUUCAGAUGUCUGGAUAUAUUUGUUGCUUUUGUUUUGGACCCGGGUCUUGCUUAACUUGGGCCAAUUUGUACAUAUCUUUUCUGCUCCUGAAUAAAUUGGGCUCUGGUCCAUCUUCAAUUAAAAAAAAGGAAAAAUGACAUGGACUGACCAGUUUAAAAAAAGGAAAUUUUGCAUAUAUACCGACAUGUUUACUCUUAAUUACCAAAAAUUUCAACAUUUUUCAAAAUCUCCAAAAAUUCCAACAUUUGACCUCUGAUAAUACAAGUUAAUCACAUUAGAUACAUACUGUUGAUAUAUGUAUCUAAUGUGAUUAACUUGUAUCAUACAUUAGAUAUAUGUAGGGUUACAUUAGAUACAUGUAGGGUUACAUUAAAUACAUGUAGGGUUAACUUGUAUCUCAAAAAUAGUCCCAAAUAUGAAAUGUUGGAAUUUAUGUAAUUUUUCAGAAGUAGGGGGAUUUUUAGAAAUUUUGAAAGUUAUGAUGUUUAUUUAUGUAAUUUUUUGUUAAAAAGAAAAAAAAUAGCCCACACUAUGAAAAUAUGGACAAUUGGAGCCAGUAGACCCAAUUUAUUUCCUGUUUUUUCAGUCAUUUGGCCCAAAACUAUUCUCCUUACACAAUUAAGGGGAUUAAAUACUCUUCACAGUAGGCUACUCUUAAAUCACUUUUCUUUUCAAACUAUACUUUCCCAAAAAAAUGUUCACCUCUAUUAUGUGUCGAUCAAUCUACUGUGUUUUGUGAUAACAAUUGAGUUAGUAGGGCACAUGCAGUCUCUAUACCCAAUUGAUACACUUUUGUACCAUAUUGAUACAUGUUUAUACCCAAUUGAUACUCUUUAUACUACAUUGAUACACUUUUAUACUCAAUUGAUACUCUUUUAUACUAGAUUGAUACACUUUUAUACCACGUCGAUACAGUAUGUAUAUUACAUAAAUACAUCUUUUACAGAGGAAAUUUGUGCAAGCAUAUACAGUAACAAUACCAAAUUAAUACAGUAAAUCAAAAUUAGUAAGUACGAACAUAAUUGAUACUCUUUAAAAUUAUAGUAUUAAUAGUACAUAAAGUAACAAAAAAAAAGAUCAAAUCAUCUUUCCAUCAAUUAUUGUUUUGAUUUAGUUCAUUCUUUCUCCUUAACGCUCUUUUAUAUUUCUAACUUCCUCUUCCUACCUUUAUUUUCUCUUCUUUUUUUCUUUCCUUCAUUACUAAGUUAGUUGUAAACACCCAUAUGAUGAAGUAUGUAUUUACUCUUGAGUUGAUGUCAUAUUUAUCCUACUAAGAAAAAUCACAGGUUCUGUAAGGAAUUGUCUAGACAUGGAGUACAUAUAAAAAUUUAUUCUGCCACUUGAAAAAAACCUGUAAAAAACUAAUUAAAUUCAGAUUUUUUGAGAUUUUAUACAAAAUUUAUGAAAUGAGAAAGGUAAAUUGGAGUAUCGAAAAAAGGUAAAGGAACAAAUAUUUAGGAGUUUGAAUGGAAAGGAAACUGGGAAUGAAAAGAAAAGAAAGAAAGGGAAAGUUACUUCAAGGAUGUUUUUGAUUUUGUUUAAGCGUAUGACAGUGAAGGUUAGUUAGUGGAAUUACUCUGUGUCUAUUUAUGAUGUAUUUAAUUUUGACUGCUAUUUUUUUAUAUUAUUUUAGUUUUAGGUGUUAUUUCUGUCAUUUGCCCAAAAAAAAAAACUUACUAUUUUACUACAAUUCUUGUUGGUAAGAAUACAUUAUUUCUUUUUUUUUUUUAGGGCAAACAACAUAAAUUUCGAGAAUUUGGAGCUUAAUUACAGAAAAUUCUGAUAUUUUGCAUAAUUGUUGAAAAUCUCAAUUUUGGAUCUGUUGAGAUACAUUAUUAGCUUCUGAUACAAUCAAAAAGAUACAUUUUUAACUUUGUAUAGAUAUAUAAUUAGCUUCCGCUACAUAUUUUUUAAAUUUUGCGUUUGUUGAGAUAUAUAAUACAUCCAAUGAAGAUAUAUUUUUUUCUUUGUAAAGAUAUAUAAUUAGCUCCCAGUGCAGUUUUUUUAUUUUUGGGUCUGUCGAGAUACAUAAUAAGCUUUCGAUACAUCCAACGAAGAUAUAUAAUUAAUUGAGCUUUUUGUAGUUAUUUUGUAAGAGUGAAAAUUUUGUAUAAAUAUAAUAAGUUAAGAUGUAUAUUUAUACUAUUUUUCCAUAAUUUGCUUGCGAACCAAAUCGACCACUAAAGAAUUGAAAAGUUAAACAAUUUGUUCCCAAUACAGAACAAACUUUAGCCUAAAAUUUAAUGCUAAAAAUUACUACAAUGAGCUGAGUGGCUGAAAUGGUGCCACUUAAGAAUAAUUUGGUGGAUGAAAUGAAUGAAUUGUUUUGGAGUACAAAUUUUGAUUUAGACAAUCUAUUGAAAUUUAUUAUAGUACUGUUUAUAUUUAGGGGCCAUUUUUCAGGAUCUAUGAAAAAUUUAUAAUGUUGAGUAGAACAUACUAUAAAAGUAAUGUUGGAUAGAGCAUAUCACACAUUAGCACAAUCCUAAUCAAUAAUGAUAGCUAUUCAUCUCUAGUUCACUUUUAUAGUUAAUCAAAGAAUUAUUAACAACGAAAAUUAAUUUUCUUGUUUUGGUUUUCUAUCAUUGAAUCAGCAAUAGUUUGAUAUAAGAACUAUUCAGAACAGACUAAAUUAAAGAGAAAGAUGGAAUACCGUCAAUGAAAAUAAUAGGAUAUGAUAUCUUCAAAGAUAAAGAAGGCAGUGAACUUUUUACACAUAUAAUACGUAUAAUUAUUAAAGAAUAUAAAAGAAAUUAAAAAAAGGACAUACAGUACAUAUAUAAACUGGAAAAGAAGAUCAAUAAUGUAAAAGUUUGAUGUUAACACUGUUCCUUAAUUAAAAUUUCCAUAAUGAUUAUACUCGCUAUUUUCUUUCAUUUGCACAAAUCAAUAUGCUCCUUUCCCCCCUUUUUUUCUCCUGAUCACUCCUUAAAGAACGAGACAUAUAGCAUACAUAGAGAAGAGAGUACUUUGUCUCCCUCAAUAAAUACCUUGAGAAAAAAAUGUAACUCAUUAGUAGUUUCUUGAUUUUGUAAAAUUUUCUUUAUUUAAAAAAGAGUAACAUUGGAAGAAGGUCAUUAGUAUCUUUUUUAUUAUCUAAAACAACAUUUAUUAUCUUUUUUAUUAUCUAAAACAACAUUUAUUAGGAGCAAAAUAAAAAAGCUAAACAACCACUUAUUAGAAACAGAGGGAGUACUAAUUAUCUGAUAGUGUUUUCAGUGUUACGCAUCAUGAACUAAAAGCUUAAUUUAAGAAGCAUUGACUGCUUAAUGAAAUCUUUUAAUUCACAAUGAUAAUAAGGAAAUCCAAUUUGUGUUGUAUCAUUCUAGCCUUUCCAUUUUUUAUGGAGACAAAGCAUUAAUAGACAAAUGGAGAUUGGACAUAUCAAGAUUUCAGUCUCAUCCUGUCAAAUCAUUAAUUGUAAAACCUUCAUGUAUUUCUAUGUUCAGCCUAAGAUAUUAAGGGGUUAAUAUUCUUUCAAAACAUGGAGAGUUUCUGAUAUUGGGAGACAUGGUUGUUUGUCGAAUAUAUUUAUUUCUCAAUAAUUGAAAUAUAUAAUUGUAUUUGAUGUGAAGAAAGUAUUAGUUAAAAUGCAGUUUGGUUCAUUUUGGCUAGGGAUUCCAUCCUUUCCAUGUAUAAAAGUUUUUGAAUGUAAGGAUGAGAAAUCAAGGUAUCUGCUACACUUUUUUUAUAUAUACGUGUAGCGCAUGUAUCGAGAAAUUAGUAAAAGAAAAAAAAAAUUCCUCAGCUAAUUCUCAAUCAACACCAACUCCAUCUUAGGAAAGUGUGGUUGGUUCUGUUCUUCCUCGAAUUCAAUGAAUUUUUGUCAUAUUGUCAUACAUAUAACGAAUAAUAUAUAUAUNNNNNNNNNNNNNNNNNNNNNNNNNNNNNNNNNNNNNNNNNNNNNNNNNNNNNNNNNNNNNNNNNNNNNNNNNNNNNNNNNNNNNNNNNNNNNNNNNNNNNNNNNNNNNNNNNNNNNNNNNNNNNNNNNNNNNNNNNNNNNNNNNNNNNNNNNNNNNNNNNNNNNNNNNNNNNNNNNNUAUGCCUCUUUUCCUCUUUAAAUUUUAAAGUAAUAAUUAAGAAGAAAAAAGAAGAAGAUACUAUUCAAUAAUUUAAUUCUGAUACCAUCAACAUGGAAGACUCCAUUUGCUUCAUCUAACAAUGGACUUUGGCAUUAUAUAAUUAACAAAACAAUUAAUUAUUAGGAUAACUUAAUCACCGACAAAGGUUUCUUACUAUUAUCCUUAUGAGAUUCCACUAGUUAAGCUAAAUAUUUUUAAUCGACGUAAGAGUUAUGAAUGUAUAAACAAGUAGAUCUUAGCUACAUUGACCUAGUCAAUCAUUAUUAUUACCGACAUAUUUAUGCUAUACAAAUAUUUGUCCUAAUGCUAUCUUUUAUUUAUUUUUUUAAUGGAAAAGGGUCAAAAAGAUUCCUGAAUUAUUCGAAGUGGAGCAAAAAUAUCCCUCAUUAGUUUUUUGUCUCAAAAGUAUCCCUCUCUAAUGAAAUAACACCAAGCAUGUCAUGUAGACAAAAUACGUCACUUGAACAGUUCACGUCAGAUCGACCAUCUUUAUUAAAGGUGAAUGCUCCAUUAAAUGAGAGAUUUUCCAUGUGGAUAUUGGCGCCUAGCGUGGACUGUUCAAGUGGCGCUUUUUGUCCACGGACAUACUUAGUAUCAUUCUGUUAGAGAGAUGAAUAGUUUUGAGCCAAAAAUUUAAUGGAGGAAUAGUUGUAAGCAAAAAAAUUAACGAAAGAUAUUUUUACUUUAUUUCAAAUAAUUUAGGAAUAUUUUUAAUCGUUUUUUGCUUUUUUAUGAUUUCUAAGUUGCUUAUAAUUUUUUUAUUACUACAUGAUUAACAAUAUUUUUUUAUUUCCAUAAAUAACAGAGAGUAAACUAAGUUGCACCUUAAUGGUCGAAAAGUAUUCACUAUUUUUUUUAGACUUAAAGAGGUGAUUCUGAUACAUGUCUUAUGAACAAUCAUUACAAAUUUUAUUAUUUUAAAUUUUGUUUUAGAUAAGUCUAUGAUUAAGUUGUUGGUGACCAAUUUAUUCAAUUGAGUGAGGCUGGCAUGUCCAAAGAUUUUAGGACGAAGAAACGGGUUAUUAUGUUAAUUAGGUAGAUUUAUUUUAGGGAGAAAUAAGACAUAUGCUUUAAUUUGUAAAUAUUAAUAAGUAUUUUUCCAUUUAAGCAUAGCUUCUUUUAAAUUUAAAUUAGUAAUCAAACAGUGUUUAGUAGUAUUUUCUACCUUGUUGGCUUUGUCACACAUUUGAGAGAUGCUAAAAAUGUGUAUUAAAAAAAAAAUAAGAUGGAAAGAGAAGCAUACUGGCUCAAAGGUAAAGCCGCUAAAACGUGCUUUAAGGUUCAAAAAUAGUAUUUUUAUUAUAUAAUUAGUCUCUCCUAUGUUUUACAGUUUAUAGUCUAUAUGCAAUAAAUCAAAUUCUAUUAUAUAAUUUUUUAUAUAAAAAUAAAAGUUUCUUUAAAGUUAUUAAAGGAUGUCCAUUUGUUGUAAUAAAAUACAUUGAUUUUGGUUCUCAGAAUCCUAUUGGUACAUAAUAAACUUUGGCUAUUUUAAUUCAAAGUUUUAAAAUAUCAAAUACAAUUCUAUAAUCUUUAACUAAAAAUUUAAAAAUAAGAUUAUUAAACUUCCGAUGAUAUGAUUGUAUAAGAAAAUAAUAAACAUUUUAAAAUGUUAUUGUAACUUUAUAUAAUACAUGUAACAGUAUUUUUCUAGUGAUUAUAAGAAGAAUUUUAUUGAAAAAUCAAACGUAAUUGUAACUUGCGGUAUUGAAAGUAAAAUUUGAUGGCGAGGAAAAUAUGAGUCCAUUCUUAUGUCAUUAAAAUUUAUAAACCUUUUUAUUAAGAUGACUUGAAAAUGGUAUUUAACUAUAUAUAAUUUAUAAUUUUUUAAUUAUCAUAAAUAAAAUAUUUCAUUUUCGUGAUAUUUUAGUUUGGAUUGCUUUCUAUCUAUCAUUAAUGACAAAAUACAUCGUCAGACCCCUUAAAUUGACACCAUUUUUCACUUUGGCAUCUUAAGUGGACAUUGUUCACCUUUGGCAGUUCAAAUAACCAUAAAGUGUAUCAUUUUGACAUCUUUCGACAUCAAUAAAAGUGUGUGUUACACUCACUGUCAACGUGGAUAAAACGGCCAACUGAUUUAUGCCAAUUCAUUUAAAUUGCCACAUCAUUAUUUAUAUUCACAAUUAGUUUUAAAAAAAAUAAAAUCAAAACAUAUGGCAAUUAAUGACAUAAUUAUCUAACUCAUUAAUAUAUAUACAAAAUUAAAUUAAAAGAAUCAAUUAAUUACUGACACGUGACAUUUUUCAAAAUAAUUAUAAAAUUAUUUAUUUUAUUUGGACAACCCUCCACCCACCUCCCACCCCCAAACUCCAAAGUCAUCUUCUCUACCACCAUCUAUCCCCCCGAUACCCCCCACCCUAAAUCAUCUUCUCUAUUUGGCAACACCCCUCUUCCCGUCAUGUUCUCCAUCUCCCUCCCCCCCCACCACCCCCAACCCCUGCCUGAGUCAUCUUAUCCUCUCCAUUUGCCCCUUUGAAAAGAUGAACACUCAAUCAAAGAUUAUAGUAUAUAUGUAUAUCAAAGACCUUGAUUAGUCAUAGCUUGACCUCAAAAAUUAGAAGGCAUUAAAUGACUGUUUUUUUUCUUAACAAAAAAUAAAAAAGAAAUGAUUGACCUUGAAAUAUAUUCAUCAGUAGUAUGUGUGAACCUAUUCUUUGGCAACGCAGUGGUCUUCUUACUACUUCAGUUGCAGUCAUAACAUGUUGACAAAGAUGGUGAUUGCUCAACAACAAAUCACUCGUUGUUGUUAGUGUGUUAGUGUGUUUCGUUAUUCUUGAAAAGUUCAACCUCCAUUAAUGGAAGUUAAGCUAAAGAAAGGUUGUGUGAAGAAGGCAAUGUGAGGAAAUUUUUUGUAAUUAUUUGGUCAAUAAAACAUGUGCCAUUAAUUUAUUGGAUCAAUUUUUACUGAUUUGGCAAUAGAGAUUUUCAAUAGUUUUAAAAAAAAUUUAAAGAUGAAAAAUUACAAAAAUAUCCCUAAAAAUUUAUGAAAAUACUCUUCAAACGCUCCAAAAAGUGAGCAACGUCCACUUGAAGUGCCAAAAUGAAAGAUAGCACCAAGUUGAGGACCGACAAUAUAUUCUUUCUUCAUUAAUUAGUGCAUGUACUACUCCUGUACUCCAUUGGUUUUGAUUUUUUCUUGUUCCUGCACAUUAUUUCUCCUUUUUUACUGUCUAUAUAGUACUAUUUUUUAACUUAGUAUGUUGAAAUUAAUUAUUUUUUAUUUGCAUAUGAAAAAGAAAUACUUAACUAGAUUGAUUCUUAUUCGUAUAUAAAAAGUUAAAAUAGUGAAAUUCAAGAAAAAUAUAUGAAUUUUAUAUUUGGCUUUAGAUGGCUAAUUAUAUUAAGCCGCCCUUGAAGGGACGGUGAAUUGUAAUAUUUUUUGUGGUUGACUAUGAGGCGAGCUAUAAUAUGAAAUCAAAUAAGUAACAUAGUAUAAUUAUGUGCUAAGUAAUGUGUCAUAUGAUAUUUUUCAAUUGAUUUGAAUUCAGUGUGAAUUAUAGUUAGUCCUUCCUUUUGGAUUUUUGUUAAACUGAAAUUUUCAUUUUUAUUACAUAGAGAGAGAAGUUAUAAAAAGGAUGAUUACAACGUGUUGUAACUUUUCAGGACGAAGAACAACAAGUCAUUGUUUUAUUAAAGAGGGAUUGUCCCUUGUCCAUAUCAGCUUUCAAGAAAAUAACAGAACAAAUGUUGAAUCUACUACUAUGAGAAAUUCAUCAUUUGUUUUGUUGGAGUUAGCCAAUGUCUGCUUUCUCCUUCCUAAUCCUAAAAUUAGCCAAACCAACUUUAUCCAACCUAUAAGUCCUUUAUAUUCAUCAUUAAGCUCUUGAAAUUGUUGUUGAGUACAAUGUUGAGGGUGUACUUAAUUUCUAAUCAUACAAUAGCGGUCUUUUUCACUCUUUGUAGUUGAUAUAUUGCCUCACCAAACACUAUUUUCCUCUCUUCGCUCUUUUUAAAUACACAAUAAAUGAAUUAGGAAGUUACAAUGCUUGUUAAGAAUAGCAUAGAGCUUUGGAGAAUGUUUGGACAGGAUGUACAGUUUCUUUUCCUAGAAGGCAUAUAUAGUCUUUGUGUGCUUGAUGUCUUGAAAAAGGAUAGAGAAAGACAAUCCAUACUACAUGAAAAAUAUUGAAUUGAGACAUAAUAUUUAUCAAUGGACAAGUCUGGCAUAGAGUUUAAACGGAUUUGUGAUAGAAUUAACUAAUUUAUAGUGUUGAUUUUAAUUUUUUCAAAAAUAAAUCAUAAAAUAGAUUGCCUAGCUUGACGUGUUAUGUGAUAUUAUGCAUAGAUUAAGUCCAUUGGAGGUUGUCUGAUUAGAGAAUCGGACAAUGCUUAGCAUGGGAAUUUCAUUGAAUAUGGAGCUAAGUGAGACUUUAAUCUCUCAUUUACUUGCUUUUUCAAAAGCAUUAUUUAAAACUGAGAAAUCGCUUCAAACUACUCCUCCACCCCAUUUUAGUUGGGCACAUUCUAUUUUAUACGGUGAUUAAGAAUCAUAAAUUGAAUGAUAAAUUUUACGAUCUUACCCUUUACUCAUAUUAAUGUUAUUCGUUGGGCAUAAGAAUGAACAUUGAAAUUGAAAUUGUUAACAUUUAAUAUAUACUAAAAAUUGUAGGGGAAAAAUAAAAAAAUAAUUAAUUUUAUCCUAAUUUAGUAAGUGGUCUUUUUUGGUGGGCUGAAACGCAUUAAAAAGAAAUAGCGGAGUAUUACAGUAGCACCUGGAUUAACCAGGAUCUACAAAAUUUGAGUUUGAGCUUAUGCCCUCUAAUGAAACAUUACAACACCUUGUUUGCCUAAUGAAACUAGUUCCUAGGAUGUCAGCCCAGGUAGCUUUGCAGCAUACAUUGGAGGAAUUACAAAAGAGUUUCUCUGUCCACAAACUUUCAGUCUUGCUCCUUCCUUAGCUAAUGCAUCCUUCACCAUAUUCUGCUCUUUAUAGCAGUGCUGGAUUUGUGGUCGUCCCAGACUCCUGAUUAGCAACCUGCAUCCAUUAAUUAUGGCAUUAUAGUGGAGGUUUCCCUCUUUGAGCAUAAUAAUAACCUUUUUCGAGUCUACAUUGAUGUCCACGGGAACUAAGGACAUUUCCUCCAUAAUUUUUAGUCCCUUUAGUUGAGCAAAGAGCUCCAUCUGGUUAUUAGUAAUCACAGGGAAAACUUUUUUGAAACCUGUAGUCCAAUUCCCUUCAUUGUCUCUAAUAACCCCUCCAAUACCACCCCUACCAGGAUUUCCCAAACAUGAGCCAUCAGUGUUAAGUUUAAAUCUUUCUUUAGAGGUUGGUUCCCACUUAACACUAAUGUUCAAUAAUCUAUUUGUCACGACCUGAAUCAAGGUCUGGCCGUGAUGGGCAUCCCUAGCCAACCAAGGUCGGAGAUGACCCCUAACCUUACCUCAAGAGCACAUCAGUAAAAACAAACAACAAAAUCCAACCAAGAUAAAAAGAGAAACAUAUGAUUCCAAAAGAAAGUUAAGAGUCAAAACCAACUCCAUAAUAAUAUCCCGACACUGCCUACAAAAGUCUCUAAUCCAAAAAUACCAACUAAGUCAAGACAUGUCCCCGACUAUAACAAAAGAAAUUCAAAAGUUCUGAAAUGAUAAAUGUAACUAAGAAAGAGGCCAAGUCUUUUGAUAGUUCAUAAGUUGGUUGAACUUGUGUUGAACUUAUUGUGGAUUAAAUACAAAUUUUGUACCCAGAAUAACAAUCUUAAGGAAUUUAUUAAUAAUUUUAAUUUUUGAGUUUCUAGAGAUUAAAACUUUUUGCUUUCUACGCUGUUUGAACUUUAUAGUGAUUUGAAGUUAUAAAAACUUCAUCACGGGUUAAUGUUCAUUCAGUUGAUGAUUAGAAGAACAUAAAAGCUUCAACAUUAAACUAGAAAUAAGUUGUUUAAAGUUUUUAAAACUUUAUUCUUAGUAUUUUGACUUACUAAAUUGGUUGUCUUUUUGUCACAGUAAAAAUGAUUAUUGAAAAUCAAGUUAAUGAUGGAAUGGUCAAUGUCACAACAACAAAUAUUGCUACUUAAAAUCGUUCAAAUGCUGCUCCGCCAAGGCACUGACAGAAAAAUCAGAAAGUUUUCUAGUGUGGAUUUUAAAAGAUGGCAGCAGAAGUUGUUCUUUUAUCUGACUACAUUAAAUCUACAAAGGUUCAUCACUGAAAGCAUUUCAGAGUUUUCGAAAGAAAUAUCCAAAAAUAUACUUUAUUACUACAAAAGCUUGAAAGCACUUGAAUUUUUUAUAUAAGAACUACAUACUGAGUGGCUACAACAUGGCAUGUACAAUGUGUACAGCAAUAUGAAGACCUCUAAGGAACUAUGGGUAGCUUUGGAAAAGAAGUACAACAUAGAGAAUGCAUGAAUGAAGAAAUUUAUUAUUGCAAGAUUUGUAGAUUUUAGGUGGUAGACAGUAAUACUGUAGUUACCCAAGUUCAAGAACCGCAAGUCAUCAUUCAUGAUCUCCUCACCAAAGGUAUAAAUUUGUUCUUGAUACUUACAUAGUCUCUGAUGUAGGCUUAAUUGUGAACGAGGCUUAUCAAGUAGCUGCUAUAAUCGAGAAGUUACCACAUUUGUGGAAAGACUUCAAAAACUACUUAAAGCACAAGCACAAGGAGAUGUCUUUCGAAGACCUUAUUGUGAGGUUAAGAAUCGAAGAGGACAAUAAAGCAUCAGAAAAGAGGUCUCGAUGGAAUUUACAAUAAGUAGAGAAAAUAUUGUGGAAGACGACCCCCAAUAAAUUAAAGAGAGAAAGGAAGCGUCAGGACAAUAAGGCAAUCCUCCUAAGAAGAAAUUCAAAGAAAAUUAUUUUAACUGUGACAAAGUUGGCCACAAGUCUUCAGAUUGUCAGGCUCCUAAGAAGGACAAGAAAAGAGGAUCAAGCUAACAUGGUUGAAUCCAAGAUGAUGUGGAGAUCUAUGUGCUAUGCUUUUGGAGUGCAUGUUGGUUGAAAAUCCUAGAGAGUAGUGGAUUAAUUCAGGUGCCACUAGCCACAAUGUGCCAACAAAAAAUUAUUUCCAUUAUAUUUUCUGGCUCAGGCUAAUGAGAACAUAUUCACGGUAACUCUGUUACGGUAAAGAUUGAAGGAAAAUGCAAGAUUUACUUGAAGAUGACAUUGGGCAAGGUGGUGACACUAAACAACGUCCUUUAUGUUUCAAAGUUGCGAAAGAACUUAGUUUCUACUUCACUUCUAACUAAAAAUAGAUUCAAAUAAGAAUUUGUUUCUGACAAAGCUGUAAUUAGUAAGCAAGAAGUGUAUGUAGGUAAAGGUUACUUCAUCGAGGAUUUUUUUAAGAUCAGUGUAAUAAAUGUUGAAAUCAAUAAAAAUUCUGUUUCUUCUUACUUACUUGAGUUAAAUGAAUUAUGGCAUGAACAUUUAGGACAUAUUAAUUACAAAACUUUGCAAAAACUGAUUAAUUUAAAAAUUUUGCCUAACUUUGAGUGUAAUAAAUCAAAUUGUCAAACAUGUGUGGAAUCUAAGUAUGCUAAGCAUCUAUAUAAGUCUGUUGAAAGGAAUUUCAAUCCCUUAGACUUAAUCCACACAAAUAUUUAUGCUAUGAAGUCAAUACCAUCUCAUGGUGAGAAAAAGUAUUUCAUAACUUUUAUUAAUGAUUGCGCUAGAUAUUGUUAUUUUUAUUUGCUAAAUGAUAAGAAUAAAGUAAUAGACGUAUUUUGGUAAUAUAAAACUAAAGUUGAAAACCAGUUGGAUAAAAAGAUCAAAAUAAUAAGAAGUAAUAGGAGUAGAGAGUAUGUAUCUUCUUUUGCAGGGGUAUGUUAGAAAAAAGGAAUUAUCCAUCAAACUAAUUUCCCGUAUUCACCUCAAUCAAAUGGGAUUGUGAAAAGAAAAAUUGAAUGUUAAAGAAAAUAAUAAUUGUCUUACUCAUAAGUUCAGAUAUACCGCAAAACUUGUGGGGGGAAGUUAUCCUUACAGCAAAUCGAAUACUCAAUAGAGUUCCCUAUAAGAAGACACACUCUAUCCUAUAUGAAAAUGAAAAGGAAGGAAACCCAACUUGAAAUAUUUCAAAGUGUGGGAUUGUCUAGCUAAAGUCCAAGUCUAUAUACCUAAAAGGAUAAAAAUAGGACCAAAGAUUGUGGAUUGUGUGUUCAUCGUAUAUGCUACAAGGAGUAAAGCAUUUCAAUAUUUGGUUCAUAAAUUCGAACCAUGAAAAUACGAUAAUCUGAAUCAGAUAAUAUUAAGUUCUUUGAAUACAUUUAUCCGUAUAAAAUUGGACAUGAGAUGUCUAGUGGAGGAUCUAAACAACCUCGAGAUGAACCAAAGGAGAAUGUACUUAAUAAUGAGAAUCAAGGUGUAGUACACGUCAAAUACCGUCAAUUUUCUUUGGAUAAGAUUUUGUAACAUUUCUUCUUGAAAAUGAGCCUUAAAAAUUGAAAGAAACGAUGUCGUCUUCAGACCCAUCCUUUUGGAAAGAGGCAAUCAAUGGUGAUAUAGAUUCAAUCUUGAGCAACCAUACUUAGGAAUUGAUUGAUCUUUCUCCGGUAAAUAAACCUUUAGGUUCUAAAUGGAUCUUCAAAAGGAAAAUAAAAGCUAGUGGUACUUUUGACAAUUAUAAGACAAGACUUGUUGUGAAAGAUUUUAGACAAAAAGAAGGCCUUUAUUAUUUCGAUACAUACUCGCCAAUAACAAGGAUAACGUUCAUUCAGAUGUUGGUUGCGUUGACGACAGUAUAUGAUGUUGAAAUUCAUCAAAUGGAUGUGAAUACAACGUUCUUAAAUAGAGAAUUGAAGGGAGAAAUUUACAUAAAACAACCUAAGGGUUUUGUAGUUUCUGGUAAAGAAAAGAAAUUGUGCAAACUUGUUAAAACACUUUAUGGAUUAAAACAAGCACCCAAAUAGUGGUAUAUAAAAUUUGACCAAACCAUGUUGGCAAACGAUUUCAGGAUAAACGAAUGUGAUAAAUGUGUUUACAUUAAAGACACUCCAAAUCACAAAGUCAUUAUUUGUUUGUAUGUGGAUGACAUGUUGACCAUCAGUAGAGACAUUCUAACAUAAAUGCUAUGAAAUAAAUGCCUGAGGGCAAGUUUGAUUUGAAAGACCUUAGAGUUGCUGACGUAAUCUUAGGGAUAAGAAUUUUUAGAACUCCAUAGGUAUUGGCGUUGUCACAGUCGCAUUACAUUGAAAAGGUGUUUGACAAGUUCAAGCAUUUAGAUUUCAAUAUUGUUGAGACUACAUUAGACAUGAGUUUUGCAUUUCAAAAGAAUGAAGGUGAAAGUAACUCACAGUUGGACUAUGCAAGAGUGUUGAAAAGUUUGGUGUAUAUAUCAUAAAUUGUACGUGAGAAGACAUAGAAUGCACUAUUAGUAAAUUAAGUCGGUAAAAGACUACUCCUAAUCAAACUCAUUGGAUGGAUAUGAAAAAAGUUUUAGGGUAUCUAAAACAUACCCAAGACUAUGUUUUUAUUAUAACAAAUAUCCAGCGUAGAUGAGGUGACUUUUCAAAAUAAUGUAAUUUUUCGUGAACCAUUACUUUCUUUCUGAAGCACCACAUUGUGGCUAUAAAUGCCUGAAUUUUUCCUCUGAUAAAGGUAUGAAGAUUUGAAGGGAAAAACAUUUUCUUUUUCUUCUUAAAACUCUGGUAUGAUCUUCAAACUAUUGAGUGAGUUCGUUGUUCAGAAAAUUUGAGGUACCACUAUUUUUUGAAGAGAAUCAUUUUUCGUAGGGAGGAUAUAUUCCUUUAACCUCGAGUACUUGACUAGAAUAAUUUUUUUAAGGAUACAUCGUGAAUUCAGUGGAUUUGACUCAAUCGUUUCUGUCUUCAUCCCAUUUUCUUAAAGUUGGUUUUAUUAUUUUUCCAGAAAAAUAGUUUGAACAUUAUAUUGAUAGUUCUUCAUUUGUUUGAACUUGUGUUUGAAGUUUUUGAAACUUCAUUUUGAUAGGUUAUAAGUUGUUGAACUUGUGUUGAAGUUAUUGUGGAUUAAAUACAGAUUUUGUACAAAAAAUAAUACGAAAUAGCUGUGAAACCUUGGGGAGCGACCAACUAAAAGAAUUUGCACCGAAGUCGAUCCGAAAUCACUUUCAAAGUAAUGGCUUACCACGACACAAUAUUUUCAGUUCCAUAUUAAUAUUAGAGUAAUUUUUCCAACAAGUGGCAAAGUUUGUUAUUUAACUACAAAAUUUGUUCGUCAACAAAUCCUUGUUUUUCUUUUGUUGGGUAGUAUAUUUUGGUUUUAUCUAAUCAAUCUAUUGACAAGCUAAGCGCCUACGAAAACGAUGUAGAUGUUCUACCUACGGGGGCGGGGGGGUGUCUAUUACAAUUACAAAAAUAAACUGAAUGUUGAGUUUCAGUUCCACUAACACCUUGCAAAAGUGAAUUACCCAUGAAAGAUGGGGGUAUUAUAUCAAAAAAAAAAAACAUAUCUUUUGUUGUUUUCUAAUUUCUAACGAUAUAUUUUUGAUCCAUUGCUUUCCCAUAGUAUGCUAACUUGACAGCCACUUUUUUUUGCUUUUCUAUAUACGUGGAACACUUUUUUUUUCGUCAAAAUGCGAAUCAUAAUUUAAUCCGUCAAUUUUUACUAAAUUGUAAUUGUCUUUUUUUUUUUAUAAACAGAGAUAGCAGGUAACCCAAGAAAAAAAAAUGUCUAGCAGAACAUAUUACGCAUCCUCGAAACUACUAUGACCUAUAAAACUAGAUGAUAAAAAAAUUGGUUUUAUCAUACUGGCACACUUGUAGAUGUUCCAUAAUUCAUGUAAAUUUACUUCAGAUGAAUUGUAGUUUUUGUGUUCAAAUUCAUAUAAAAACGAAAUGAUUUAAGUUUCGUUCUUUGAAUAUCGCCAUACAGAAAUAAAAUAGAACAAGGGGAGUACUUUUCUAGGUCUCUAUUUGAUAUUUUAUCAGUAACAAUUUGAAAAUAGUCAUAACUCAUACACGUAGUAGUAGGUGGAAAUGUUUCUGAUUGAAUUCGGCAUAAAAAUAUUUUUAUGGAAAAAAAGUUUCUUCUAGUUUUGGUUUAUAAGUGGAUCAAUUUUUGUGGAAAAAAAGUUUCUGCUAGUUUUGGUUUCUAAGUGGAUCAUUCCCUAGCGCUCUACUAAAUGAUUUAAUUUUAUAUAAAGAAGAUGAAAUUAUAAGAAAAAAGAGAAAAAAGAAAAAGACUAGAGAUCUAAAGAAGGGAAAACUUAAAGUAUGUGGUAAUAACUUCUUUUAUUCAUCACAUAAUCUCUGCAUUUUGCAAGGAGAUUGAAACUGAGCAAACAUACACAAAGACAUAAAAGUAAAAAUACAAAUAUAAAUAGAGUACAAACAAUAUCACUAAUAACUUAGAGAACAUGAAGCUACAAAAGAACUUCGCCUCCCGUGGGGCUUAUUGUUUACUCUUUUUUCUUCUUUUUGGCAUUGCCUCUCGAAAUGGAAAAUGCCUUUCCUUGAGCUCAACAUUCUGCUUUUCCUGCAUAAGAAUAUAAUAUUGUCAAUGAGAACAUAUAGUAACUGAUUAAUAAACCUAAUAAGUAGGAGAUAGCAUAGGCUUAUAUAUUAAUGCGUUUGCAUGAAGAAAUUGUGCAACUUGUAUUGAUUUGCAUUUAGACAAAUCAUUUUUAAGAAUUUUAGUUUGGCUUAAUUACCUUAGAUUUGAUGUUGUUGUUUCUUAGUGAUGGUAGGGAGGAGGUGGAGACUUGUAAACCGGAGUUGGUGGUGGUGGAGACUUGUAUACUGGUGCAGGAUGGUGUGGUGUUGGUGAAGGAUGGUAUGGAUUCACUGGUGGUGGUGACUUGUAAACGGGUGUUGGUGGUGGUGGAGAUUUGUAUACUGGUGCAGGGUGGUAUGACUUCACUGGUGGUGGUGGUGACUGGUAAACGGGUGUUGGUGGUGGUGGAGACUUAUAAACUGGUGCAGGAUGAUAUGGCUUCACUGGUGAUGGUGGUGACUUGUAAACGGGUGUUGGUGGUGGUGGAGACUUAUAAAUUGGUGUGGGAUGAUAUGGUGUUGGUGGAGGAUAGUAUGGCCUCUUAGGUGGUGGUGGUGACUUGUAAACUGGAGUUGGUGGUGGUGGCGACUUGUACACUGGAGUGUGUGGCGGGUAGUAUGGCUUUUUGGGUGGUGGUGGGGACUUGUAAACUGGAGUUGGGGGUGGUGGAGACUUGUAAACUGGGGUGUGUGGAGGGUAGUGUGGUGGUGACUUGUAAACUGGAGUCGGGGGUGGUGGAGACUUGUAAACUGGGGUGUGUGGAGGAUAAUGUGGCUUCUUUGGUGGUGGUGGGGACUUGUAAACUGGAGUGUGUGGAGGAUAGUGUGGCUUCUUCGGUGGUGGUGGUGACUUGUAAACAGGAGUUGGUGGUGGUGGCGACUUGUGAACUGGUGCGGGAUGAUAAGGUGUUGGUGAAGGGUGGUAUGGCUUCUUAGGUGGUGGUGGAGAUUUGUAAACAGGAUGAUGAUGGUGUGGUGGAGGGGACUUAUAUACUGGGUGGUGAUGGUUUGGUGGAGGAGACUUAUAUACUGGGUGGUGGGGUGGAGAUGGAUAGACAUGCACUGGUGGAGGAGGAGAUGAAUAAUGAUAAUUUGCAGAGCUUUCAGAAGCUAAGCUAAGUGACACUAAAACCACCAAAAGAGUGGCAACUAGAGAGGCCAUUUUCCCCAUAUU
rnacentral:lncRNA from 1 species